rnacentral:rRNA from 1 species
AGCUAAUACCGGAUAACAACAGAUGAUGCCUAUCAACUGUUUAAAAGAUGGUUCUGCUAUCACUCUUGGAUGGACCUGCGGUGCAUUAGCUAGUUGGUAGGGUAACGGCCUACCAAGGCGAUGAUGCAUAGCCGAGUUGAGAGACUGAUCGGCCACAUUGGGACUGAGACACGGCCCAAACUCCUACGGGAGGCAGCAGA